rnacentral:rRNA from 1 species
UCUGGUUGAUCCUGCCAGUAGUCAUAUGCUUGUCUCAAAGAUUAAGCCAUGCAUGUCUAAGUAUAAGCAUUAUACUGUGAAACUGCGAAUGGCUCAUUAAAUCAGUUAUCGUUUAUUUGAUCGUUUCUUACUACAUGGAUAACCGUGGUAAUUCUAGAGCUAAUACAUGCAAAAAAUCCCGACUUACGGAGGGAUGUAUUUAUUAGAUUAAAAACCAAUGCCUUCGGGCUGUCUGGUGAUUCAUAAUAACUUGUCGAAUCGCAUGGCCUUGUGCCGGCGAUGGUUCAUUCAAAUUUCUGCCCUAUCAACUUUCGAUGGUAGGAUAGUGGCCUACCAUGGUUUUGACGGGUAACGGGGAAUAAGGGUUCUAUUCCGGAGAGGGAGCCUGAGAAACGGCUACCACAUCCAAGGAAGGCAGCAGGCGCGCAAAUUACCCAAUCCCGACACGGGGAGGUAGUGACAAUAAAUACCAUAUCGGGGCCCUUUGGGUCUCGAAGUGGAAUGAGUACAAUUUAAAUCCCUUAACGAGGAACAAUUGGAGGGCAAGUCUGGUGCCAGCAGCCGCGGUAAUUCCAGCUCCAAUAGCGUAUAUUAAAGUUGUUGCAGUUAAAAAGCUCGUAGUUGAACUUUGGCCCUGAUUGGCCGGUCCACUUAACGGUGCGUACUGACCCGAUCGGGGCUUUCCUUCUGGCUUACUCUGUUCCCUUAACUGGGUGCAGAGGAACCAGGACUUUUACUGUGAAGAAAUUAGAGUGUUCAAAGCAGGCCUACGCUCGAAUAUAUUAGCAUGGAAUAAUGAAAUAGGACGUAUGUUUCUAUUUUGUUGGUUUUCAGAAACAUCGUAAUGAUUAAUAGGGACAGCUCGGGGAUAUCAGUAUUCAGUUGUCAGAGGUGAAAUUCUUGGAUUUACUGAAGACUAACUACUGCGAAAGCAUUUAUCAAGGAUGUUUUCAUUAAUCAAGAACGAAAGUUAGGGGAUCGAAGAUGAUCAGAUACCGUUGUAGUCCUAACCAUAAACUAUGCCGACUAGGGAUCGGGCGUGUCUCCGUUUUUCAGGAACUGCCCGGCACCUUACGAGAAAUCAAAGUUUUCGGGUUCUGGGGGGAGUAUGGUCGCAAGGCUGAAACUUAAAGGAAUUGACGGAAGGGCACCACCAGGAGUGGAGCCUGCGGCUUAAUUUGACUCAACACGGGGAAACUCACCAGGUCCAGACACAAUAAGGAUUGACAGAUUGAGAGCUCUUUCUUGAUUUUGUGGUUGGUGGUGCAUGGCCGUUCUUAGUUGGUGGAGUGAUUU